UACGUAGGGACCAAGCGUUGUUCGGAUUUACUGGGCGUAAAGAGCUCGUAGGCGGCUCAGUAAGUCGGGUGUGAAACCCCCAGGCUCAACCUGGGGACGCCACCCGAUACUGCUGUGGCUAGAGUCCAGUAGGGGAGUGUGGAAUUCCCGGUGUAGCGGUGAAAUGCGCAGAUAUCGGGAGGAACACCAGCGGCGAAGGCGGCACUCUGGGCUGGAACUGACGCUGAGGAGCGAAAGCGUGGGUAGCAAACAGG
rnacentral:rRNA from 1 species